GAAGAAUUCAGUCAUUCCAUGAUCUUUGCGAAUCAAAAAGAAGAGAAUGCUGUUAGUUAUUAUACAAAUGCUGUUGAUAAGAAAGACCACAAAUGGGACAUAAAUAUAAUUGCAUAACUUUGCUCAAUGCCUAAAGAGUCUGCAAAUCCUGAUAAGCAUCAUUAAGAUAAGCCAAUGCAUGAAUAAGCUGAGCAAAGAAAAUGCAAGAAGCCAAGAGAUAACUCUGGAAGUUCAUGUACGUAAACAGUAAUGAUAAUUAUAGGCUUGAAUCAACAGAAAGGGUGGGCAGCAAAACCAUGUAUAUUAGCUUUGGACUAUCUGGAGUAGAUUAUGCAAGUACCUUAUUGAUAAUGUGUGGAUUGC
rnacentral:misc_RNA from 1 species